rnacentral:lncRNA from 1 species
UGGCCGUGGAAGUUUCGUUUUGAGCGUUCCAAAUGUUUAAAGGCUAUUCCUUAAAAUAAAUGAAACCUGCUUAGCUUUUUGUGUUAUAUACUGGCGGCAAUAGUUGGCAGCAGCUACUUUCACCCUUGCAAAGGUUAUUUUGAUUGUAUGGAAAUUCAAGCUGCCUAUUUCAGAAAACAAAACAUGAAAAGAGUCAAUCCGUGUUUGCCGACUCUUAAAAGACCUUUCUCAAAGUGUUUUUUAUGAUGCCAAACCCACAAGAGUUUGUAAAAAUGUGCCUACUUUUGCCUUUGAAUUUAAUUAGGCUGGAAUUACAAAAUGUACAUGUACAACAACAUUUCUGCUUUCUACUCUUAAAAAAAUAUAAACUUUAGUCAUAUUUGAAUCACACUUUUUUUUAACAUCUUCUUUUAAAUAUUUUUGUUUCCAUUUAGGACUGCCAACAUUGCUAUGGAAACCCCCCAAAAAUAAAGACUUUCCCAGCCUUGUGAGAGCACACCUGCAAGAACAAGAAUUGCAGUUAGCCUUUUGCCUGUCAAAAACUACUCUCCUUCAAUAUCAGUGUCGCUUAAGGACAUCUUUUAUGUUUGGGCUGGAGCUUCCUGGUGUUCGUAUGAAAAAUCUUCACAGAAGAGGAGUAUGGUGUUUCUGAGAGGAAACCUUCACAGCACUGCACAGACAAGCCCCCGCCUUUACAUAUGAAAAGGUGAAGAUAUAUAACAGCCUUGGGGUAAAUAAUAAAGCUUCCUUUCUGCUAAAGAAGAAAGGUUCG